ACACGUGAGUAACCUGCCCUUAACUCUGGGAUAAGCCUGGGAAACUGGGUCUAAUACCGGAUAGGAGCGUCCACCGCAUGGUGGGUGUUGGAAAGAUUUAUCGGUUUUGGAUGGACUCGCGGCCUAUCAGCUUGUUGGUGAGGUAAUGGCUCACCAAGGCGACGACGGGUAGCCGGCCUGAGAGGGUGACCGGCCACACUGGGACUGAGACACGGCCCAGACUCCUACGGGAGGCAGCAGUGGGGAAUAUUGCACAAUGGGCGAAAGCCUGAUGCAGCGACGCCGCGUGAGGGAUGACGGCCUUCGGGUUGUAAACCUCUUUCAGUAGGGAAGAAGCGAAAGUGACGGUACCUGCAGAAGAAGCACCGGCUAACUACGUGCCAGCAGCCGCGGUAAUACGUAGGGUGCGAGCGUUAUCCGGAAUUAUUGGGCGUAAAGAGCUCGUAGGCGGUUUGUCGCGUCUGUCGUGAAAGUCCGGGGCUUAACCCCGGAUCUGCGGUGGGUACGGGCAGACUAGAGUGCAGUAGGGGAGACUGGAAUUCCUGGUGUAGCGGUGGAAUGCGCAGAUAUCAGGAGGAACACCGAUGGCGAAGGCAGGUCUCUGGGCUGUAACUGACGCUGAGGAGCGAAAGCAUGGGGAGCGAACAGGAUUAGAUACCCUGGUAGUCCAUGCCGUAAACGUUGGGCACUAGGUGUGGGGACCAUUCCACGGUUUCCGCGCCGCAGCUAACGCAUUAAGUGCCCCGCCUGGGGAGUACGGCCGCAAGGCUAAAACUCAAAGGAAUUGACGGGGGCCCGCACAAGCGGCGGAGCAUGCGGAUUAAUUCGAUGCAACGCGAAGAACCUUACCAAGGCUUGACAUGUUCUCGAUCGCCGUAGAGAUACGGUUUCCCCUUUGGGGCGGGUUCACAGGUGGUGCAUGGUUGUCGUCAGCUCGUGUCGUGAGAUGUUGGGUUAAGUCCCGCAACGAGCGCAACCCUCGUUCCAUGUUGCCAGCACGUCGUGGUGGGGACUCAUGGGAGACUGCCGGGGUCAACUCGGAGGAAGGUGAGGACGACGUCAAAUCAUCAUGCCCCUUAUGUCUUGGGCUUCACGCAUGCUACAAUGGCCGGUACAAUGGGUUGCGAUACUGUGAGGUGGAGCUAAUCCCAAAAAGCCGGUCUCAGUUCGGAUUGGGGUCUGCAACUCGAC
rnacentral:rRNA from 1 species